CGCCAAUAAUCGAAGAACAUGUAAUAAAUUCCAGAAAACAAUAUUGAAAUACUACAUUUUCUGGGGACAUUCACAAUCUUUGAACAACCUCUUAAUAGAAUUCAUACAAUGAAAGCAAGGGACCAAUUUGCAACGUGAAUAGACAUUUGAAUCCUCACUACAUAUGAACCUACAGAAACAAAGAACAUAUCUUGAGAUGAUCACUGUGCAUCACUAACUAACAAAAGACACUCUCCCAAUGCUGAACACAUGCUUUGCAGAGAAACUUGGCCCAAUUUGUAACAACCUAUUUUAUGUAGUGUAUGUUCUCACACAUGAACUAAAAAAUAAAAUAAUAGGUUAAACUAAAAAGCCUACUGUAAUAUAUACUUAACACUUACAAAACUUUUGUCACCCACUUCCACUGAAUUCCUACUUUGCCAGAAUCUGCUUUAGGUUACUGGUCAACAAGAACUCAUUUUGUUGCCCCACCUCAAAACAGUCCCUUAAAAGUGACCAUUAAUAUGCAAAAUUCAUCCCCUUCCUCCCCCUUCCAUUCCUCCACCCUCCACGAUCCGUCUGAUGGUCAUUCCCACCAAACCUGGAGGUUUUAUACCUUGACAUGUAGCAGCCAGCACCCUCGUUCUUCCAGCUAUUCUCAUCCCAUGUUUUCCAAUCUCCACCAGUUGUAUCAUUGAAAUUAUUCCACUGCUUAUAAUUACUGUCCCACUCGUAAUUAUUCUUCCAUCUAUAUGAAUCACUCCAACAAUUUGCCCAUUCAUUAUCAAUCAUGGCUCCAUUGGCCUGAGAAACAUUGCUCUCCCGGGGGUUUCCAUUAUUACCCUUUUGAUUACAAUCUCUAAAUCCAGGAUACAAAGCUGCAGUGGCUGUCUUUUGCACCUCCUCUUCAGCCUCCCCCCAUCCGGUGCACGAAAAUGACUGAUUCAGGAGAGAACAACCAAAAAUCACAACUUCCUCCUCUUUAUCUUUCUCAUCAGGAUAUUUGGGCUCCCGUUCCAAAUCUAAGUACAAUUCAGGGUCAAUGUUGGAAUUCCAGUCAAUUUCAUCAAUAUAAAUAUCAGGAUCGGGCAAUGAUAUGUCACAAUGAAGACCAUUAAUCUUCGCCCAAAAUCGGUUUUUAGCAUUGUGAAAUGCCUCUUCACCAGCAGAGUCAUUCCACUGAACUAUAUUCUCAUAUAGGUACAUAGACUUUUUGGUUUCCAAUAGCUUGCCCCAUGGAACCAAACCAACUGAAGAGCAGAAUCUUUUCUCCCAUGAUGGUACAGUUGGCUGCCAACUACCAUGAGGAGGCUGUCUAUGGCGUGAUCUUGUCGUCCCCUUAACUUCUGGAUGAUUAAUUUCACCUUUAUGUCUCCUCCAGUUACUCAUAAUGAAAUCUGAAAGGCCAAAACACUCAAAAAAGAAAACCCAAAAAGAGUCUAAAAAACCAAAAAUCAAAAGAGGCAGAAACUGGGUUUAAAACAAGGAGAAAAAAAAAAACCAAUGCAACAAGUGACAAUUUCUCAAGGUUUUAGACAGAAAACCAAAAUGGGUAUGAUUGAUUUGAGAAGAAAGACUUUAUCCAAGGCAAAAUCAUGUUAAGAUUUGGCCAAAGAAUUGCAGAGAAUUGAGGAGCUUUGUUAGAGUGAUCACUACUAGAGAAAAGUUCGGGUGGGUAUCGGUAUGCGAGAAGAGAAGGCGUGGGCGUUAAUUUGUGAGGCUAUUUAACUAUUUAUAGCCCUUAGCUUUCGUUAGGAUUACUAAGGUCACCGCUUCCCCUACAGAACUUCCUUCUCCUUCAAGGACUGUCUCUGCGUAUCGAACAAUCUUGAGGGCUACAGUUCCUAAUCCCACUCUCAUUCCUUGGCAUGUGUAAUGUAAUUCUCUCCAUGAGGAGGCUUUC
rnacentral:misc_RNA from 1 species